UACGGAGGGUGCAAGCGUUGUCCGGAUUUAUUGGGUUUAAAGGGUACGUAGGCGGGCGUCUAAGUCAGUGGUGAAAGCCUACAGCUCAACUGUGGAAUUGCCAUUGAUACUGGAUGUCUUGAGUAUAGUAGAGGUGGGCAGAAUUCAUGGUGUAGCGGUGAAAUGCAUAGAUACCAUGAGGAAUACCGAUAGGGAAGCCAGCUCACUGGACUAUUACUGACGCUAAGGUACGAAAGCGUGGGGAGCGAACAGGAUUAGAAACCCCAGUAGUCC
rnacentral:rRNA from 1 species